rnacentral:rRNA from 1 species
GAUGAACGCUGGCGGCGUGCCUAAUACAUGCAAGUCGAGCGAACAGACGAGGAGCUUGCUCCUCUGACGUUAGCGGCGGACGGGUGAGUAACACGUGGAUAACCUACCUAUAAGACUGGGAUAACUUCGGGAAACCGGAGCCAAUACCGGAUAAUAUAUUGAACCGCAUGGUUCAAUAGUGAAUGACGGUUUUGCUGUCACUUUUAGAUGGAUCCGCGCCGCAUUAGCUAGUUGGUAAGGUAACGGCUUACCAAGGCAACGAUGCGUAGCCGACCUGAGAGGAUGAUCAGCCACACUGGAACUGAGACACGGUCCAGACUCCUACGGGAGGCAGCAGUAGGGAAUCUUCCGCAAUGGGCGAAAGCUUGACGGAGCAACGCCGCGUGAGUGAUGAAGGUCUUCGGGUCGUAAAACUCUGUUAUUAGGGAAGAACAAAUGUGUAAGUAACUAUGCACGUCUUGACGGUACCUAAUCAGAAAGCCACGGCUAACUACGUG